rnacentral:lncRNA from 1 species
GAGAACGUUGCUUAAUGAUUUUCUUAUUGAUUCAUCUGUUUUCGCAUAUUUGAAUCCAUAUCAAUUUUCGAAUGGUAACAGCAUGCAUAUUUGUUAAACUGAAAACAUUAUAUGUUUAAUGUGAAACAUAUAAUGUGAGGAAGAGAGAUGAGACACCCACUAGUUCUGUUGAAACAAAUGCUUUGAAUGCAAUGCAGUUUAAAUACAAAUUAAAUGCAAACUUUUGUGAUGCAGAUUAACCUUCAUUUUAAUUCUCAUUCAAAUUUUAGUUACAGUACAUUAAUAAUGCAUAUUAGACUGCACAAAUAUUAAUGCAGUCUAUUUUGUUAGAACCGAAGGAGAUAAAUAAUCUGAGGAAGAGUACUGAUUAAAUUAGCAACUAAACUUUAAUAAAACUUUGUUAUAACUGCAGAAGAAACACUAUAUGUUUAAGGUGAGCAAAUCUGGUUCCAUCAAUAAAAAA